ensembl:lncRNA
UGGGCUGUUGGAGGGACUGGAGGACUGGAGUUGGGCUGUUUGGAGGACUGGAGGACUGGAGUUGGACUGUUGGGAGGACUGGAGGACUGGAGUUGGACUUUUGGUUGGACUGGAGAACUGGAGUUGGGCUGUUGGGGUGACUGGAGAACUGGAGUUGGACUGUUGGGAGGACUGGAGUUGUAGCUAUUGGAGGUACUGGAGGACUGGAGUUGGGGUGUUGGGGGGACUUUAUGACUGGAGUUGGGCUGUUGGGGGUACUGGAGUUGGGCUGUUGGGAGGACUGGGGUUGGGCUGUUGGAGGUACUGGAGGACUGGAGUUGGGGUGUUGGGGACUGGAGGACUGGAGUUGGGCUGUUGGGAGGACUGGAGUUGGGCUGUUUGGAGGACUGGAGGACUGGAGGAAUGGAGUUGGG